UGUGAGAUCUUUUGAUUGUGCUCUUGGCAUAUUCCUCUUUUAGCUUUGAGCCAAGUUUUUUUUAAAAAGAGGUACUGUAUGCAUUUCUUGAAGUUUGACAACAUUAUAGCAAAAAAAAAAAUCAUUGUGACAAGCCUAAUAUUACAGGGCAAAAUUUAUUAUGGUAACAGUUACACAGUACUUUGGUUUCAUCACUUGGAAAUUUGUUUCAUCUCUGACACUAUGCAACUUUAGAGGUUUGGUAUUUAGUUUGUAAAGUGAAAUAAAAUGUUUUCAUUCCUCCAUUGAUCCAUAGGUCUUGUCAGGUUUUUUUUUUUUUCCUUGCAUAGUAGACAACAUUCAUUACAUGUGCAACGGCACCCUUGCAUUCCUUCAUUAGGAGAUCCAAACCACACUGAAAGUCUUAUGAAGUUAUGGCGAUAGACAGUUGCGUAUUCUCUCUUAUCUAAUAAUUUCACUGUACAUGUAAGAGGUCCCAGGUCAACCCUUGGUGCACUGACGACCACAGAGAGUAUGGAUGCUGCAGGGAACAGUCAGUGAUGCCUAACAACAUGUGGCAACCAGAAGUCAGACAGUCCAUUAUUUGCUUCCUCGUGAUCAAGGAGCUGAUCCUCUGUAAAGAAGAUGAUCAAAGUGUUACUUAAUUGACAAGUGAAGAAAUCAGAGUCAUGCAGGAAAAGCUGUCCCUUAAUCAUAUCAAUGCAUGUAGCAGGUUGCUUCUGAGAAAAGGAACAUCCCAUUCAGAAGCAAAGCAAAAUCCAAGUCACUUUAAUAGGCCUAGAUGCUAACA